GGCUGGUCCAAAGGUAGUGAGUUAUCUCAAUUGAUUGUUCGCAGUCACAGAUCAAACUCCUUGUUUUAUUCUUUCCCCCUUCUCCAUACUGCACUUGACUAGUCUUAA
rnacentral:Y_RNA from 1 species